rnacentral:rRNA from 1 species
AUUGAACGCUGGUGGAAUGCUUUACACAUGCAAGUCGAACGGCAGCACGGACUUCGGUCUGGUGGCGAGUGGCGAACGGGUGAGUAAUGUAUCGGAACGUGCCCAGUCGUGGGGGAUAACGUAGUGAAAAUUACGCUAAUACCGCAUACGAUCUAUGGAUGAAAGCGGGGGAUCGCAAGACCUCGCGCGAUUGGAGCGGCCGAUAUCAGAUUAGGUAGUUGGUGGGGUAAAGGCCCACCAAGCCAACGAUCUGUAGCUGGUCUGAGAGGACGACCAGCCACACUGGAACUGAGACACGGUCCAGACUCCUACGGGAGGCAGCAGUGGGGAAUUUUGGACAAUGGGCGAAAGCCUGAUCCAGCCAUUCCGCGUGCAGGAUGAAGGCCCUCGGGUUGUAAACUGCUUUUGUACAGAACGAAAAGGUUUCUACUAAUACUAGGAGCUCAUGGCGGUACUGUAAGAAUAAGCACCGGCUAACUACGUGCCAGCCGCCGCUGUAA